rnacentral:lncRNA from 1 species
UUGCAUCUGAAGCGCAGAGAGAAUAUACUAUCUGCCUCCCUUCUGAAUCUUGGUGGCCCAUUGCUGGAUGGAUGGAGAUCAUGAUCCUGGAAAAAGGAUUAAAAUACCUGUAUAGCUUCUCAGUCACCAAUGCGGUCAAAAACAGGCUUGGGGACAAAGCUUGGUUAGAAUUCUGUUGGUUCAAAAGAGUACUCCUACCUAGAAGUGUGUGGGCACCUCACUGGCUGGACGGCUGCCUGCCUGCUUGCUGCCUGGCCCUAGCAAAGAAGAACUAAUUAUUUUAGACCAUGUGUAUUGUAUAAUGAUCCGCAGUAAAAAGUUAGAAUUAUUUCAAAGAAAUUUUAUUAACAACGAGUUAAUUAUAAUUAUGUGUUGUUGUGAAUUCAGGUGUUACAGGAAUUUCAAGGGAAACAGCAAAACAAAGCUCCACAGGAAAAUGAGAAAAUUACCUUGGGGGAAUAAAUGUAGGUGUCAUACAUGAGAAAGAAAGCUAGGAGAGUGAUGAGGUAUGGCAGUUGGGAGGAUGUGUACAGCUGGGAGUCUCAACUGAAAGCCUGAAACAAAGAUGGCCUUGCUUGCAUCAAUGGCAGGGGUGUGGCCCUAGCUGCUCACAGGGCAGGGCAGCACUGCACAAAGACAAAGAAGCA